UGGGGAAUCUUGCGCAAUGGACGAAAGUCUGACGCAGCGACGCCGCGUGGGUGAUGAAGGCCUUCGGGUUGUAAAGCCCUGUGGGGAGGGACGAAUAAGUCCGACCUAAUACGUCGGGUGAUGACGGUACCUCUUUAGCAAGCACCGGCUAACUCUGUGCCAGCAGCCGCGGUAAGACAGAGGGUGCAAACGUUGUUCGGAAUUACUGGGCGUAAAGCGCGUGUAGGCGGUCGUGCAAGUCGGGUGUGAAAGCCCAGGGCUCAACCCUGGAAGUGCAUUCGAUACUGCAUGGCUAGAGUCCCGGAGAGGAUGGUGGAACUCUCGGUGUAGAGGUGAAAUUCGUAGAUAUCGAGAAGAACACCGGUGGCGAAGGCGGCCAUCUGGACGGUGACUGACGCUGAGACGCGAAAGCGUGGGGAGCAAACAGGAUUAGAUACCCCCGUAGUCC
rnacentral:rRNA from 1 species